GGGCAGAGAGGGAGAGAUGGAGUCCUGAGGGGGCGCUGGAGUCCUGAGGGGGCGGGACACUGGAGUCCUGCGGAGUUGAUGGACAGGGAGGAGUGGUCCUGAAGGGGAACUGGAGUCAUGGCAGUGGAUGAUGAACAGGAGAGGUCCAGAGAGGGGCUGAAGUAACUUAAGGAUGAAGUGGAGUAAAACCGACCUGGAGACUCUGGGAGGAUUGGCAAGAGCGGUGAAACCUUCCAGUGCUUUUGACUUUGUCCAGCAGCAAGCUGUGCGUUCACGCUUAAGGUGGUUGUAGUGACCCUGUGGUGUGCUUUAAGGACCUUUAUCACUGGAAAGUGGGUACCCAAGAGGCUUUGAUGAGGUCCCAGAACAAGAAGAACUGGAGGAAGCUGGAUGGUGAGACUGGGAAGCACUUUAGUCAUUCAUUAAAUUGUUGCUGUUCUCA
rnacentral:lncRNA from 1 species